rnacentral:rRNA from 1 species
GACGAACGCUGGCGGCGUGCCUAAUACAUGCAAGUAGAACGCUGAAGAGAGGAGCUUGCUCUUCUUGGAUGAGUUGCGAACGGGUGAGUAACGCGUAGGUAACCUGCCUUGUAGCGGGGGAUAACUAUUGGAAACGAUAGCUAAUACCGCAUAACAAUGGAUGACACAUGUCAUUUAUUUGAAAGGGGCAAUUGCUCCACUACAAGAUGGACCUGCGUUGUAUUAGCUAGUAGGUGAGGUAACGGCUCACCUAGGCGACGAUACAUAGCCGACCUGAGAGGGUGAUCGGCCACACUGGGACUGAGACACGGCCCAGACUCCUACGGGAGGCAGCAGUAGGGAAUCUUCGGCAAUGGGGGCAACCCUGACCGAGCAACGCCGCGUGAGUGAAGAAGGUUUUCGGAUCGUAAAGCUCUGUUGUAAGUCAAGAACGAGUGUGAGAGUGGAAAGUUCACACUGUGACGGUAGCUUACCAGAAAGGGACGGCUAACUACGUGCCAGCAGCCGCGGUAAUACGUAGGUCCCGAGCGUUGUCCGGAUUUAUUGGGCGUAAAGCGAGCGCAGGCGGUUUGAUAAGUCUGAAGUUAAAGGCUGUGGCUCAACCAUAGUUCGCUUUGGAAACUGUCAAACUUGAGUGCAGAAGGGGAGAGUGGAAUUCCAUGUGUAGCGGUGAAAUGCGUAGAUAUAUGGAGGAACACCGGUGGCGAAAGCGGCUCUCUGGUCUGUAACUGACGCUGAGGCUCGAAAGCGUGGGGAGCGAACAGGAUUAGAUACCCUGGUAGUCCACGCCGUAAACGAUGAGUGCUAGGUGUUGGAUCCUUUCCGGGAUUCAGUGCCGCAGCUAACGCAUUAAGCACUCCGCCUGGGGAGUACGACCGCAAGGUUGAAACUCAAAGGAAUUGACGGGGGCCCGCACAAGCGGUGGAGCAUGUGGUUUAAUUCGAAGCAACGCGAAGAACCUUACCAGGUCUUGACAUCCCGAUGCUAUUUCUAGAGAUAGAAAGUUACUUCGGUACAUCGGUGACAGGUGGUGCGUGGUUGUCGUCAGCUCGUGUCGUGAGAUGUUGGGUUAAGUCCCGCAACGAGCGCAACCCCUAUUGUUAGUUGCCAUCAUUCAGUCGGGCACUCUAGCGAGACUGCCGGUAAUAAACCGGAGGAAGGUGGGGAUGACGUCAAAUCAUCAUGCCCCUUAUGACCUGGGCUACACACGUGCUACAAUGGUUGGUACAACGAGUUGCGAGUCGGUGACGGCAAGCUAAUCUCUUAAAGCCAAUCUCAGUUCGGAUUGUAGGCUGCAACUCGCCUACAUGAAGUCGGAAUCGCUAGUAAUCGCGGAUCAGCACGCCGCGGUGAAUACGUUCCCGGGCCUUGUACACACCGCCCGUCA